GGCAGCGCCGCGGUAAUACCCGCAGCCCGAGUGGUGGUCGAUUUAUGAGUCUAAAACGUUCGUAGCCGGUCUGAUAAAGUCCCUGGGUAAAUCGGGUGGCUUAACCGAUCCGAAUUCCGGGGAGACUGUCAGGCUUGGGAUCGGGAGAGGUAUGAGGUACUUCAGGGGUAGGGGUAAAAUCCUGUAAUCCUUGGAGGACCACCGGUGGCGAAGGCGUCAUACUAGAACGAAUCCGACGGUGAGGGACGAAGCCCUAGGUCGCAAACGGGAUUAGAUACCCCGGUAGUCUAGGGUGUAAACGCUGCAGACUAGGUGUUGGAGGCCCUACGGGGGCACCCAGUGCCCGAGAGAAGUUGUUAAGUCUGCUACUUGGGGAGUACGUCCGCAAGGAUGAAACUUAAAGGAAUUGGCGGGGGAGCACCGCAAACCGGGAGGAGCGUGCGGUUUAAUUGGAUUCAACACCGGAAAACUCACCAAGGGAGACCAUCACAUGAAAGCCAGGCUAAUGACUUUGCUUGAUUCUUGGAGAGGAGGUGCAUGG
rnacentral:rRNA from 1 species